GCGAAGAACCUUACCUGGGUUUGACAUGCACAGGACGUGCCUAGAGAUAGGUAUUCCCUUGUGGCCUGUGUGCAGGUGGUGCAUGGCUGUCGUCAGCUCGUGUCGUGAGAUGUUGGGUUAAGUCCCGCAACGAGCGCAACCCUUGUCUCAUGUUGCCAGCACGUAAUGGUGGGGACUCGUGAGAGACUGCCGGGGUCAACUCGGAGGAAGGUGGGGAUGACGUCAAGUCAUCAUGCCCCUUAUGUCCAGGGCUUCACACAUGCUACAAUGGCCGGUACAAAGGGCUGCGAUGCCGUAAGGUGGAGCGAAUCCUUGUUAAAGCCGGUCUCAGUUCGGAUCGGGGUCUGCAACUCGACCCCGUGAAGUCGGAGUCGCUAGUAAUCGCAG
rnacentral:rRNA from 1 species